UGAAAGUUUUAUUCUUGCUUAAUAAUUUAUUAUUUGAAUGGUAUUACAUGUAAAUUUUUGUGGGUGAUAAGUAUAUCUUAAUGAUGAUUAAUUAUUCGCAGUAUUUGGUAUUAUUGAUCAAAGGAAUUUGGAAUUAGUAAUUUGAUGUAUGAUCGGCUAAAGUCGUGCCAGCUGCCGCGGUUAUACGUAGGAUAGGAAUAAAUUUUAUUAGUUAGGAGUUAAUUUGUUUAUUUAAUGAAAGGUUAUAUUAAUUUAAUAGGUAAAAUUUGUUAAAUUGAGAAUAUUUUAAGUUAUUAAAUGAAGCUUUGAAAAUUGAUUAUGAAACUAGGAUUAGAUACCCUAUUAUUUCAAUUGUAAAUAAUUAAACUUGAGUAGUAUUAGAUAAUUGCUUGAAACUCAAAGAAUUUGGCGGUGUCUUAGUCUUUUCAGAGGAAUCUGUCCCGUAAUUGAUAAUACACAUUAGAUUUAACUUAGUUUUGUAAUAUCAGCUUGUAUACCGCCGUCGUAAGAUUAUCUUGUUAGAGGUUUAAUUUUCUUAAUAUUUUAAGAUAAUAUGUCAGGUCAAGGUGCAGUUUAUAAUUAAGUGGGAGAUGGAUUACAAUAAAAUUAUUUAAAUGGAUAUAUUAUUGUAAUAUGGUAUUGAAGGUGGAUUUGGAAGUAAUUUUGUUAAAUUAUGAUAAGAUGACUGAAGCUCUAGGACAUGUACACAUCGCCCGUCGCUCUCGCUAUUAAGGUGAGAUAAGUCGUAACAGAGUAGUCGUACUGGAAAGUGUGUCUAGGAAGAC
rnacentral:ncRNA from 1 species